UACGUAGGGGGCUAGCGUUGCUCGGAAUCACUGGGCGUAAAGCGCACGUAGGCGGCUUCUUAAGUCAGGGGUGAAAUCCUGGAGCUCAACUCCAGAACUGCCUUUGAUACUGAGAAGCUUGAGUCCGGGAGAGGUGAGUGGAACUGCGAGUGUAGAGGUGAAAUUCGUAGAUAUUCGCAAGAACACCAGUGGCGAAGGCGGCUCACUGGCCCGGUACUGACGCUGAGGUGCGAAAGCGUGGGGAGCAAACAGG
rnacentral:rRNA from 1 species